UACGUAGGGUGCGAGCGUUGUCCGGAAUUAUUGGGCGUAAAGGGCUCGUAGGCGGUUUGUCGCGUCGGGAGUGAAAACCCAGGGCUUAACCCUGGGCUGGCUUCCGAUACGGGCAGACUAGAGGUAUGCAGGGGAGAACGGAAUUCCUGGUGUAGCGGUGAAAUGCGCAGAUAUCAGGAGGAACACCAAUGGCGAAGGCAGCUCGCUGGAACGGUACUGACGCUGAGGCGCGAAAGCGUGGGGAGCGAACAGG
rnacentral:rRNA from 1 species